CGGGGGGAGCAAGCGUUGUUCGGAUUUACUGGGCGUAAAGGGCGCGUAGGCGGCCACCGCAAGUCAGUUGUGAAAUCUCUGGGCUUAACCCAGAAAGGUCAACUGAUACUGCGGGGCUAGAGUGCAGAAGGGGCAACUGGAAUUCUCGGUGUAGCGGUGAAAUGCGUAGAUAUCGAGAGGAACACCUGCGGCGAAGGCGGGUUGCUGGGCUGACACUGACGCUGAGGCGCGAAAGCUAGGGGAGCGAACGGGAUUAGAUACCCCGGUAGUCCUAGCCUUAAACGAUGAAUGCUUGGUGUCUGGGGUUAUAUAGUCCCCGGGUGCCGUCGCUAACGCUUUAAGCAUUCCGCCUGGGGAGUACGGUCGCAAGACUG
rnacentral:rRNA from 1 species